GUGUUCACCUGAGCAGUACAUACCCUGAAAGGGGAACAAUACAGAGACCAGCAUGGGCCUGUGAAAGGAUGACACACCGAUCAAUGAAGCUGUCCAGAGUUUU